rnacentral:rRNA from 1 species
GCCAGGAAAAUUUGAUGCUUCAGUUCUUGCUGUUGCUUUUGAUUGUCUUUUGCAAUGUGCAUGUGUUUGUUGGUCGUUGCCUCAGAUGUAGAAAAUGAACGCAUUAGUUGUCGGCCUCUUCGAUCGGAGAGUGUCGAGAGCUUGACCCAAGUUGGCACUAAGAAUGACUGCGAUUGGUUUCCUUGCGUGUUGACGCAGACCUAGUAUGUUGCUCUGAUGAUUCAUGAUAACUUGACGGAUCGCACGGCCUUUGUUCUGGCGACGCAUCAUUCAAAUUUCUGCCCUAUCAACUUUCGAUGGUAGGAUACUGGCCUACUAUGGUGGUGACAGGUGACGGAGAUAUAGGGUUUGAUUAUGGAGAGGGAGUCUGAGAAACGGCUACCACAUUCAAGGAAGGCAGCAGGCGUGCAAAUUACCCAAUCCUGACACGGGGAGGUAGUGAUAAUAAAUAACAAUACCGGGCUCAUCGAGUCUGGUAAUUGGAAUGUGUACAAUCUAAAUCUCUUAACGAGGAUCCAUUGGAGGGCAAGUCUGGUGCUAGCAGCCAUGGUAAUUCCAGCUCCAAUAGCGUAUAUUUAAGUUGUUACAGUUAAAAAGCUCGUAGUUGGAUCUCGGGAUAUGUCUGUCGGUCCGCCUUAUGGUGUGCACCGUCAGUCGCGUCCUUUCUUCCGGCGAUGCGUUCCUCUUAAUUGGCUUGUCGUUCCUCUGGCUCUGUUACUUUGAAGAAAUUAGAGUGCUCAAAGCAAGCCUUUGAUCUGUAUACAUUAGCCUGGGAUAAUGUCAUAGGAUUUCAAUCCUAUUCUGUUGGCCUUCAGGAUCGGAGUAAUGAUUAACAAGGACAGUCGGGGGCUUUCGUAUUUCAUAGUCAGAGGUGAAAUUCUUGGAUUUAUGAAAGACAAACAACUGCAAAAGCAUUUGCCAAGGUUGUUUUCACUAAUCAAGAACAAAAGUUGGGGGCUCGAAGACGAUCAGAGACCGUCCUAGUCUCAACCAUAAACGAUGCCGACUAGGGAUCGCCAAAUGUUUCUUAUAGGACAUUGCCGACACCUUCUGAGAAAUCAAAGUCUUUGGGUUCCGGGGGGAGUAUGGUCACAAAGCUGAAACUUAAAGGAAUUGACGGAAGGGCACCACCAGGAGUGGAGCUUGCGGCUUAAUUUGACUCAACACAGGGAAACUUACCAAGUCCAGACAUAAGUAAGGAUUGACAUACUGAGAGCUCUUUCUUUUUUUGUUAAGAAAAGUGUAAAUAUAAAGUGCAAAUGCACAAAACAGUAUAGCAAGGCAGCAAAUUAGUGGAAGCAUUCGCAAACCCACUUACGCAAACCAAGGAACAAAAGUAUUACAAGUGUUCAGGCCCUAAGGCACAUCUAGGAUUGACCAUGAGCAAAGCGCAUGGAAAAAAAUAAAUCUGACCCAGACUGAUUAGGCAAGACAUGACAUUACACGCCCAAACACUAGGGCUGCAGCCAGGCAAGGGAAUCCAAAAACAUCGAAUAAAUUUGCUUGAAUACCAGCCACUCGAUAUGAAUUGCAAUCUGUGCUGGGGAGGAGAAAGUAUCCUCAUACUUCUGAGAGUUCCUUGCUGCCCAUAUGUAAUAAAUCGAGGUAGCCAAAAGCAUUUGCAAGAUCUUUGCAUCUGUUCGAUUGCUUUUGCAUUUA